rnacentral:rRNA from 1 species
GAUGAACGCUGGCGGCGUGCCUAAUACAUGCAAGUCGAGCGAACGGACGAGAAGCUUGCUUCUCUGAUGUUAGCGGCGGACGGGUGAGUAACACGUGGAUAACCUACCUAUAAGACUGGGAUAACUUCGGGAAACCGGAGCUAAUACCGUAUAAUAUUUUGAACCGCAUUGUUCAAAAGUGAAAUACGGUCUUGCUGUCACUUAUAGAGGGAUCCGCGCUGCAUUAGCUAGUUGGUAAGGUAACGGCUUACCAAGGCAACGAUGCAUAGCCGACCUGAGAGGGUGAUCGGCCACAGUGGAACUGAGACACGGUCCAGACUACUAAGGGAGGCAGCAGUAGGGAAUCUUACGCAAUGGGGGAAAGCAUGACGGAGCAACGCCGCGUGAGAGAUGAAGGUCUUCGGAUCGUAAAACUCUGUUAUUAGGGAAGAACAUAUGUGUAAGUAACUGUGCACAUCUUGACGGUAACUAAUCAGAAAGCCACGGCUAACUACGUG